GAUUCUGGCUCAGGAUGAACGCUGGCGGCGUGCCUAAUACAUGCAAGUCGAACGGGGGUGCUUGCACCCUAGUGGCGAACGGGUGAGUAACACGUAGGUAACCUGCCCUUAAGCUUGGGAUACCCAGAGGAAACUUUGGCUAAUACCGGAUAACAACAGAAGAGGCAUCUCUUCAGUUUGAAAGGCCCUUUACGGGGUCACUUAAGGAUGGACCUGCGGCGCAUUAGCUAGUUGGUGAGAUAACAGCCCACCAAGGCGAGGAUGCGUAGCCGACCUGAGAGGGUGAUCGGCCACAUUGGAACUGAGACACGGUCCAAACUCCUACGGGAGGCAGCAGUAAGGAGUUUUCGGCAAUGGGGGAAACCCUGACCGAGCAACGCCGCGUGAGUGAUGACGGCCCUAUGGGUUGUAAAGCUCUGUUGUAAGGGACGAAUGACUAGCUUAGGAAAUGAAGUUAGUUUGACGGUACCUUACCAGAAAGCCACGGCUAACUACGUGCCAGCCGCUGC
rnacentral:rRNA from 1 species